rnacentral:lncRNA from 1 species
AAACAUUCAUUAACUGUUAACUUCAGUACAUGUUUGUAUUGUUUACAAAAAGAAGCCAUCCAAACAAUACAACAUUCAUUACAAAAAGGUACCAACCUAAAACAUAAAACACAGUAUGAAGCAAAAUAAGAUAAAAACUAAAUCUAAAGAUAAGUAAUCCUCAUCAAGGAGAAAUUUUAUGAUAGGUUCAGUGGAUGAGGAGGAAGGAGCUGGUUUCUUGCAAAAGGUCCGAGACGAAUGGGUGGAAAACCAGUGCCAGGUCUAACUGUGGCACUAAAGGGGAGUCUAGUAGAGGAUGUGUGAGGCU